AUGGCGUCUGCUGCUCUCCUCAAAUCGUCUUUCCUUCCCAAGAAGGCCGAAUGGGGUGCCACGCGCCAGGCCGCCGCCGCCAAGCCGGUGACCGUCUCCAUGGUUGUCCGUGCCAGCGCGUACGCCGAUGAGCUUGUCAAAACCGCGAAAACUAUCGCAUCGCCAGGAAGGGGUAUCCUUGCCAUGGAUGAGUCGAAUGCCACUUGUGGCAAGAGACUUGCAUCGAUUGGCCUUGAGAACACUGAGGCUAACCGCCAGGCUUACCGGACCCUCCUUGUCACUCCACCAGGCUUGGGAAACUACAUCUCUGGUGCUAUCCUCUUUGAGGAGACCCUCUACCAGUCGACUGUUGAUGGCAAGAAGAUUGUUGACAUCCUUGUCGAGCAGGGAAUCGUUCCCGGUAUCAAGGUUGACAAGGGUCUUGUGCCACUUGUUGGUUCCAACGAUGAGUCAUGGUGCCAAGGUCUAGAUGGCCUUGCCUCCCGUGAAGCAGCAUACUACCAGCAAGGCGCCCGCUUCGCCAAGUGGCGCACUGUUGUCAGCAUUCCUAACGGCCCAUCUGAGCUUGCUGUCAAGGAAGCUGCCUGGGGUCUUGCCCGUUACGCGGCCAUCUCACAGGACAAUGGGCUGGUGCCGAUUGUGGAGCCUGAGAUCAUGCUCGACGGUGAGCACGGCAUCGAGAGGACCUUCGAGGUCGCACAGAAGGUGUGGGCGGAGACCUUCUACUAUAUGGCCCAGAACAACGUCAUGUUUGAGGGCAUCCUCUUGAAGCCAAGCAUGGUGACCCCUGGUGCCGAGUGCAAGGACAGGGCCACCCCUGAGGAAGUAGCCAGCUACACCCUCAAGCUUCUCCAGAGAAGGAUCCCCCCUUCCGUCCCCGGCAUCAUGUUCUUGUCUGGUGGUCAGUCGGAGGUGGAGGCGACGCUGAACCUGAACGCGAUGAACCAGGCGCCGAACCCAUGGCACGUGUCCUUCUCCUACGCGCGGGCGCUGCAGAACACCUGCCUCAAGACGUGGGGCGGCCGGCCGGAGAACGUGGCCGCGGCACAGGAGGCGCUGCUGCUGCGCGCCAAGGCCAACUCCCUGGCGCAGCUCGGCAAGUACACCAGCGACGGCGAGGCCGCGGCCGCCAAAGAGAACAUGUUCGUCAAGAACUACAGCUACUGA
rnacentral:rRNA from 1 species